rnacentral:lncRNA from 1 species
AGCCUGCAGCCACAGACGCCCGACCUAGGCGGCCACAGAACAGGCCAUGGGAGAAGCCAGGAGCCAACUGGGAAAUGAGCAGAAGGAAGUGGGAAGGGUGCCUUCGCCAGCCACCUCGGCACCAGCAAGGCCUGGGUGCCCGGCUGGAAGCGAGCGGCCGGCCCCGGGCCGGAGCUGCGGCGCGCGUCGUCCGUGAGGGACCGGCCGCGGCUCCACAAGCUCUCGAUGCGAUCGGCCGCUUCCGCCUUCCGGCUCCGCCCCCGGCCACCUUCCCGCCGCUCCGGCUGCCCGGAGACAGAAGCCGACAGCCUCCUCGCGUGUAACCCUGGGCGCUUAACGGAAAGUCACCUCAGAAACGACCCUCCCAGUACCCGUCGGUCCCCGGGAGGCUGGUCCCGCUGUUCCAGAAGUUCCUGGGCGGGUCUGUAGCAUUUAGCGUGGUGUUUACUUCAUGUCCUCGUCUCCUUUGGGUGGACGAGCUCACAGACUAGUGCGGGGCACGAGCCUUCGCUCGAGUUCUCCGUUCUUGUUGGAUGGACAAAUGUUGGUGAAUUUGCGCGGCCUGGAACGCGGACAGGCGGGCUGUGGCCCAGUGCUUCCUCCCUCGGCUCUCGGCCGCUCUGGGACAAAGGCUUUCUGCCGCCCACGCCACACUAAGGGGAUACACAGGGCUCGGACUGCACUGUGACUUUCCCCAAAUCGAAGAAAAUGACCUUAUAGUGACUCAGAGAGGUCCAGAGAAAGGGUAACUGCACUCUAAUGUAAAUAUAAAUAUGUAUACCCACAGGGUUUCUAAGCUGUUCUUUUCUCCACACAUUAUGUGCACCUUCGUGGUUUGUUUCCAGGGGCCACUGUCUUGAACUUAUUUAAAGCUAAGUCCUUUCUUGCCCUAGGCACUAAGCAUUUGGUUGAUGUAAGGCUAAAAAUGGGUAAUAGUUAUCACUUAGGCAGUCUCCAGCUUAUAUAAGCCAUUAAAACAGCGUCAAAUGAAAGUUAUCCAUACUGUAAAACGACUAAAAUGUUAACACCCAUAGGAAUAAUUUUUAAAAAUUACUUCACCCAUAUAUACCCCUCAACUGUUAAGGGUUAAAUAAAAAGCAGUUAAGACUUAACAGUCCCUUCAGUGCUGCUUAACAGUGGAACUCAAGGUAACGGCCAACUAAUUUUGGUGAAUGACCUCAAAAAAUUACUUUUAAGACCUAAAUUUAACACUAAUAAUAAAAGCAUUUGGCUUCAUUACCGAACACACACAAGAGAGGUUUUUCUGGGCUGUGGCUAGUACUUUGAGGAAUAGAAUUAGUGGUACAGUUGCAAAUUAUUUUUCAGGAACCCUGGUAAAAAUUUUCAGUGUUUUAUUAGGAUGCUGCUGGGUAAGGCAGAGCUUUGAACCCCCCCCCCCCAAAAAAAAAAAAAAAAAAAUUCAGGCCCCAGCUCCCAGGAAUGAAGUGCCAUUUUAGGAAAUUGACUUAACAAGUCUGUUUCUCACCUGUAUGUGGAGAUGAUUACCUCCCUCCUAUCUAUGAGAACUGAGGAAAUACUGAGACCCUUCUAAGAGCUAAAUGCUGUCAGGACAGGCACUUCAACUACAGAAUUCGCACAAAACUUAAUGAGGAAAAGGAUUCUCUUGUAUCCCAUACUCCAUCCACAUCUGAAAAGUAUUUACUUUUCAGAUGGUGUUUACCAUCUUCAUUAUUAUGCCAUGCAUUGUCACAAGCCUAAGGCUGCUCUAAGUGCACAUAACCAAGUUUAAGCAGCAAUAAGGACAACUAUCACAAAUAAAAGCUUCAUUUUUCUUCAAAACUAGUUGUACCUCAGUCUGGGUAUCUCUGACUUUUUUUUUUUUUUUUUUGCAAAGAAAAGUCCAUGGUUUUCUUCUAAAGCUUAAAAGUAAAAUGGCACAAAGAAGGUGAGUAGAUGGAUGUGUGUGUGUGUGUGUAGGGGAGAAGACUGGCACUCUACAAACAGGGUGCCAGCAUGAGAACUUCCAUGUGCUAUUCAUUUUGAAACAUCAGUAAAGGACAAAUCAGACUUUGUUUAUUAAAAAAAUACUUUACAGGAAAAAAAAAACCUAUGCAUUCCAUUGUCCUACUUUACAAAGAAAUAGCUUAACAAUUUAACACACUCAGACAGCUACAAAAAAGCACUGUGUUAAAAGAAUUAUUAUUCACACAAAUUUGAGAUUUAAGACUAUCCAUUAAAAACCUUUUAAAACACUUGUUAAUGUCAAUAAACAAACUAAGGCCACACAAACGCAAAUAGUCCGCCAGGCAAAUUAAACAUUUCAUCUAUAUGCAAAGACCUCUUAGAUAAAUUAAAGCCACAGGAAAAAAAGUCUUAGCUGCCAAUCAAAAUGAAGUUUAGUCACAGAAAACACUAUUACAUGAAAAUUUACAACAUGUGAUAGUAUUACAUAAGUAUUUCUUUAGAGAGAAUUGAAAAGUGCUAUAUUUUAAGAGACGGUGGUCUCAACUACAUGCACAAGUGGAUCCUAAAAAAUGUAUGGAGAUUUUUAAAAUGGAAGGCCAUAAUAUUUAUGGAUACUUGCUUUUAAAGCAACAGACUUCCAGGACGAGAGUAAGUCCUUUAUGCACUUAAGAAAUACACUGGUGAUGUGUAUCUCCUCUGCUUGCAUGACCAGUAAGUAUGGCUACAGACUGUCUUGAAACAUGAAACUCAGCACAAAUGUGAGCCUCUGGCAUGUGCUACUGAAAGGAUGAAACAGAUUUAUUAGAAAAACACAAACUCAGUAAUCCUAAUUAUCUUUAAUAGAUACAAAUAAAUUUUAAAGGCAAAUACAGAUGAAAAUAUAAUGGGCUAAUAUUAAUGAUAAAGGAUAUAUUCACUAGGAACAUAUUUUCGUGGAUUUUGGAGUCUUGUUCCUAUAUUAACUUUCCUUCUAGACAAUAUUUAUACAGGGAAAAAAAGCACUAAGCAAAAGUUUCUCAAGUCAUUAGGUGAGAUCUUUAUGCCUGUUAAGACUGAUACAUCAUUUCCUAAAGUUUAGCAAAUUAUUUAAAUAAGCUCCUUUCCCCAUACAAGAGCUUGUAAUAUUUGUGAACUAAUAGUCCAACUGUUUCUGAGGGUACAGGGCAUUUUCCAAAAGUCUUAGAGUAAAAAUAAUGUACCAGUAAAACUGUAAGUACUGAAUAAGCAAAGUACAAUUAAGACUAAGAAUUCAUUUCUCAAGAGUUAAACUUUGGAAGAGGGAACCAAUAUAAAGGCUAUUAUUAUUGCUUUAUGAAUUUGGGACAUCUCUCAGGACCGUAACCCUAAUACUCUUACCCUAUCUUGAUAAUUAUAGAGUGACCUCUGGGACAGGGGAAGACUUUUAUUCUUUUUAAUGGUUACCAUAAAAUCAUUCUAUUUGCUGUUAAGAAUAUUAAUUUAUUAGGUCCUUUCGAUUAGCAUAUUUUUAAAGUAUCCCUCUGAUCCACAAACUACUAAAACUUAUAACCACAUUCUGCAAGUGCCUCAAGGGCUGGCACAAUAGAUAACAUACCAGGAAGGAAGAUCAGCUUCAAUUUCAGUUACAACUUCACUGCCAUCAGAGGAUACCAGACUGUUCCAUGCCUCACUCCACCAACCAAAUAGUUUAAUGAUUUAGAAAACUUGCGAUCAUUUGUAUCACUCAACUAGGACACAGUUUUGAAAGCAGCAAGAAACUCAAAGCUUCUGCUUUUAUAUUCAUCAGUCUUUAAAGCAUGCUAUCAAAAUCUAAUACUCACAUAGGACAUUCAGGAUUUUCAGAUACAUUACUAGCUAAAUGUUUCUUUCCAUUCUAUUGCAAUCUAAUAUACAAUGACUUCAUUAGUACAUGAUUUUCAACAUUUUUAUAUUCUUUUAAUAUGUUUAUACUGGAAGUGAGGGUAGAAUGUUUUGUAAAAGGAAAAUGGAGAUUUGCGUUUGAUUGUAGGUCUUUGCAGAUCCGCUGGUUCCUGAGUGAUUACACAGUGCUGGCUGUCAGGAGACAGUCUCCUUGUUUAUUAGUAAUGACCAGCUUAGAUGACAGGAUGGCAUCUGCUGGAUGGCAAGUGGGAGAUGGGGAAAUCGGAUCUUGGAAGACAAGAAAAACAAAAUAAAACUUUUUGCGU